GCUGUGGGUGAGUGGUCGAAACCGUCUGGCUGUAAACCAGAUUCCUUCGGGACACGCAGGUUCGAAUCCGUGCCAACUCCACCA
rnacentral:tRNA from 1 species